CCUUCGAUAGCUCAGUUGGUAGAGCGGUGGACUGUAGCAAGUACGUGGAACGAUUGUGAAAUGGCAAUUGGUACCUAUACCUUAAAUGCCUCCGAUCAACCGUCUCCAAUGUAGUUAGAAAUCCAUAGGUCACUGGUUCAAAUCCGGUUCGAAGGA
rnacentral:tRNA from 1 species